GGUAAUGGUAACAUCAUAUACAUAUAAUAAAAUUUUAUUUUACAAACAUAAGUACACCAUAGCAUAUUUUGGAAAGGAAAAUACAGAAAAUAUAAUAACAUAAAGACUUACAUGUCUAAGACGGAGAGAGAUUUUCCUUUCAAAAAUCCCGACUGACUCUUACACUCUAGACACAAGCAUAAUAUGCUAACUUAGUAUUCUACAUGGCUGAUUUAUUGAAUAAUAUUAUAGUUUAGAAUUGUACAAGACUGAUUUAUUGAAUCAUAUUAUACUCUGGACGCAAGCUUAAUAUGCAAACUUAGUAUUGUACAGGACUGAUUUAUUGAAUAAUAUUGUAGUUUAGGUAGGGAUGUGUAAAAAACAUAGAGGUAGAUAGUGAAAGGAAGGGGAAUAUGUUGAGUGAUUUUUCCCUGCUCGUUGCUCUC
rnacentral:lncRNA from 1 species